rnacentral:rRNA from 1 species
UACAGAGGGUGCUAGCGUUGUUCGGAAUUAUUGGGCGUAAAGGGCGCGUAGGCGGCCCUGUGUGUCGGGUGUGAAAGCCCACCUCUUAAAGGUGGAAUUGCAUUCGAAACUACAGGGCUGGAGUGUCGGAGAGGAUGGCGGAAUUCCUGGUGUAGAGGUGAAAUUCGUAGAUAUCAGGAGGAACACCGGUGGCGAAGGCGGCCAUCUCGGACGAGAAC